rnacentral:rRNA from 1 species
AUUGAACGCUGGCGGCAUGCUUUACACAUGCAAGUCGAACGGCAGCGCGGGCUUCGGCCUGGCGGCGAGUGGCGAACGGGUGAGUAAUACAUCGGAACGUGCCCAGUAGUGGGGGAUAGCUCGCCGAAAGCCGGAUUAAUACCGCAUACGACCUGAGGGUGAAAGCGGGGGAUCUUCGGACCCCGCGCUAUUGGAGCGGCCGAUGGCAGAUUAGCUAGUUGGUGGGGUAAAGGCCUACCAAGGCGACGAUCUGUAGCUGGUCUGAGAGGACGACCAGCCACACUGGGACUGAGACACGGCCCAGACUCCUACGGGAGGCAGCAGUGGGGAAUUUUGGACAAUGGGCGAAAGCCUGAUCCAGCAAUGCCGCGUGUGUGAUGAAGGCCUUCGGGUUGUAAAGCACUUUUGGCGGGAACGAAAAGGACUGUGCCAAUACCACGGUUCGAUGACGGUACCCGCAGAAUAAGCACCGGCUAACUACGUG